CCUACGGGUGGCAGCCGUGAGGAAUAUUGGUCAAUGGACGCAAGUCUGAACCAGCCAUGCCGCGUGCAGGAAGACUGCUCUAUGAGUUGUAAACUGCUUUUGUACGAGGGUAAACGCAGAUACGCGUAUCUGUCUGAAAGUAUCGUACGAAUAAGGAUCGGCUAACUCCGUGCCAGCAGCCGCGGUAAUACGGAGGAUUCAAGCGUUAUCCGGAUUUAUUGGGUUUAAAGGGUGCGUAGGCGGUCGGAUAAGUUAGAUGUGAAAUCCCGAGGCUCAACUGCGGAAUUGCCUCUGAUACUGGUAGGCUAGAGAGUAGUUGAGGUAGGCGGAAUGUAUGGUGUAGCGGUGAAAUGCUUAGAGAUCAUACAGAACACCGAUUGCGAAGGCAGCUUACCAAGCUACUUCUGACGUUGAGGCACGAAAGCGUGGGGAGCAAACAGGAUUAGAUACCCCAGUAGUC
rnacentral:rRNA from 1 species